UAGAAAACAAACUUAUGGUUGACAGGGAAGGAGGAUUUGGGAAGAGAUGGACUAGGAGUUUAGGGUUAGCAGAUACAAACUAUUACACAUAGAAUGGAUAAACAACAAGGUCCUACUAUAUAGCACAGGGAACUAUAUUCAAUAUCCUGUGAUAAACUGUAAUGGAAAAGAAUAUGAAAAAGAAU